AAAAGGAAAAGAGAAGGCUUCAAACAGUAAGUCAAACACCUCCCCAAACAGGACCCAGAAUACAAUCAUCUACAGGGACGUAAGGUUCGGUGACUGCAUCUCAUGCCUGUGUUUAGUCUCAAGCUGAGGACCGAACUGGUCACAGUCUCUCUGUGCAGUAGAAAACAGUAAGUUUAGCUUUCAAGGAAUGCCUGAAACAUCUUUUAAUACUCAUUCUUAAUAAAACAUCUUAGAUCUAGGAGAUAUUACCAUUUCAUCCUUGGACCACUCUUGUGAAACUUAAGUAUAUAAAACAUUUUAUUCUGCAGUAAAUACUAAACCUAUUUUUCUGUUGUUGUUUUCCCUUUUUCUGAAUUUGGUUUUACAAACACCUAUUUUUGACAGCCAAAUAUGGUGCAGUGUGUUAGCUCAGUUUAACCUUUUUUUUUGACCUUGUUCCUUUUAGCUUUAUCAUUCUUCUUGUACCUGGUCGGUUAACCUUCACAGAAGCAGCCAGAAACCCUCUGAAGCUCUGUCAGCCAGCUAGCUGGACAGGGACAGGAAUAACAAAGCCUAUUCCACUGGUACUGUUAUUUAUUUUUUCCCCUUUCUUUAACUGUAGAGAAAAAGCUAUGAAAUCUAUUCCUGAGCUCCAGUUCUACCAAUCAGAUAUUCUGUGUCAUGGCUGCAAACCUUGCUAUCACUGUCAAAGUCAACAAACUCAGAUAAAAAGGAAAGACGACCUCUUUGCACGCUUACUAGAAAACCAGAAAUGGCUUUGAUUCUGCUCAGUAUAAAGGGAUGUGAAAAGCAGAGGGGCUGGAAGUGAACGAGACAAAGAACCAGCAACUAAACACCCUCUCAGGUCCACUCUUCUCUCUCUGCCUGACCUGGCACCAGUUACAGCAAAACCUGCUAAGCAGCAGUUAAGUCUGACUGGGAAACAAACGCUGCUGAAUUCUGGAACUACUCCAAGCCACAUCUUCCCGAGGGCGUGGUAUUUGUGAUACGGUGCCUGGGGAAGUCUGGACUUGCACUGGAGACUGCUGUAAGGAAAGAGGUCAGCAGCUGCUUUAACAAAUGCAGAAUCUCAAAGGAAAUUCAUGGAGGUGACUCUAUGACGGAGCUCCCUGCAAUGCAGAGAACUGGACUAAGCAGCCGGAGUUCUGAAGGCCUGUGUUUCUUCGACUCUACAACGCAGCAAACGCGGGCCCUGUGACUUUUACUCUGUGUGACAAAGCAACACAAGAUCUUCAAAGCCACUGCUCGUGAAUACAGCAUCUUACCUGCUUGAUCUGAU